UACGUAGGGCGCAAGCGUUAUCCGGAAUUAUUGGGCGUAAAGAGCUCGUAGGCGGUUUGUCGCGUCUGCUGUGAAAGACCGGGGCUCAACUCCGGUUCUGCAGUGGGUACGGGCAGACUAGAGUGCAGUAGGGGAGACUGGAAUUCCUGGUGUAGCGGUGAAAUGCGCAGAUAUCAGGAGGAACACCGAUGGCGAAGGCAGCUCGCUGGGACGGUACUGACGCUGAGACGCGAAAGCGUGGGGAGCGAACAGG
rnacentral:rRNA from 1 species